UACGUAGGGUGCAAGCGUUAAUCGGAAUUACUGGGCGUAAAGCGUGCGCAGGCGGUUAUGUAAGACAGAUGUGAAAUCCCCGGGCUCAACCUGGGAACUGCAUUUGUGACUGCAUAGCUAGAGUACGGUAGAGGGGGAUGGAAUUCCGCGUGUAGCGGUGAAAUGCGUAGAUAUGCGGAGGAACACCGAUGGCGAAGGCAAUCCCCUGGACCUGUACUGACGCUCAUGCACGAAAGCGUGGGGAGCAAACAGG
rnacentral:rRNA from 1 species